UACGUAGGGGGCAAGCGUUAUCCGGAUUUACUGGGUGUAAAGGGAGCGUAGACGGCCAGACAAGUCUGAAGUGAAAAUCCAGCGCUUAACGCUGGAAGUGCUUUGGAAACUGCCGGGCUGGAGUGCAGGAGUGGCAGGCGGAAUUCCUAGUGUAGCGGUGAAAUGCGUAGAUAUUAGGAGGAACACCAGUGGCGAAGGCGGCCUGCUGGACUGCAACUGACGUUGAGGCUCGAAGGCGUGGGGAGCAAACAGG
rnacentral:rRNA from 1 species